AAAAUUGGGGGGCGGGCCCAAAUCAUGCAAGUCGAACGGAGUUCUCGUUGAUGAUCGGUGCUUGCACCGAGAUUCAACAUGGAACGAGUGGCGGACGGGUGAGUAACACGUGGGUAACCUGCCCUUAAGUGGGGGAUAACAUUUGGAAACAGAUGCUAAUACCGCAUAGAUCCAAGAACCGCAUGGUUCUUGGCUGAAAGAUGGCGUAAGCUAUCGCUUUUGGAUGGACCCGCGGCGUAUUAGCUAGUUGGUGAGGUAAUGGCUCACCAAGGCGAUGAUACGUAGCCGAACUGAGAGGUUGAUCGGCCACAUUGGGACUGAGACACGGCCCAAACUCCUACGGGAGGCAGCAGUAGGGAAUCUUCCACAAUGGACGCAAGUCUGAUGGAGCAACGCCGCGUGAGUGAAGAAGGCUUUCGGGUCGUAAAACUCUGUUGUUGGAGAAGAAUGGUCGGCAGAGUAACUGUUGUCGGCGUGACGGUAUCCAACCAGAAAGCCACGGCUAACUACGUGCCAGCAGCCGCGGUAAUACGUAGGUGGCAAGCGUUAUCCGGAUUUAUUGGGCGUAAAGCGAGCGCAGGCGGUUUUUUAAGUCUGAUGUGAAAGCCCUCGGCUUAACCGAGGAAGCGCAUCGGAAACUGGGAAACUUGAGUGCAGAAGAGGACAGUGGAACUCCAUGUGUAGCGGUGAAAUGCGUAGAUAUAUGGAAGAACACCAGUGGCGAAGGCGGCUGUCUGGUCUGUAACUGACGCUGAGGCUCGAAAGCAUGGGUAGCGAAACAGGAUUAGAUACCCUGGUAGUCCAUGCCGUAAACGAUGAAUGCUAGGUGUUGGAGGGUUUCCGCCCUUCAGUGCCGCAGCUAACGCAUUAAGCAUUUCCGCCUGGGGAGUACGACCGCAAGGGUUGAAACUCAAAGGAAUUGACGGGGGCCCGCACAAGCGGUGGAGCAUGUGGUUUAAUUCGAAGCAACGCGAAGAAUCUUACCAGGUCUUGACAUCUUUUGAUCACCUGAAAGAUCAAGGUUUCCUCCUUUCGGGGGCAAAAAUGAACAGGUGGUGGCAUGGG
rnacentral:rRNA from 2 species